rnacentral:rRNA from 1 species
CCUACGGGUGGCAGCAGUGAGGAAUAUUGGUCAAUGGCCGAGAGGCUGAACCAGCCAAGUCGCGUGAGGGAAGACGGCCCUACGGGUUGUAAACCUCUUUUGUCGGGGAGCAAAGCGAGUCACGUGUGACUCAUGGAGAGUACCCGAAGAAAAAGCAUCGGCUAACUCCGUGCAAGCAGCCGCGGUAAUACGGAGGAUGCGAGCGUUAUCCGGAUUUAUUGGGUUGAAAGGGUGUGUAGGCGGUUUGAUAAGUUAGAGGUGAAAUACCGGUGCUCAACACCGGAACUGCCUCUAAUACUGUUGAACUAGAGAGUAGUUGCGGUAGGCGGAAUGUAUGGUGUAGCGGUGAAAUGCUUAGAGAUCAUACAGAACACCGAUUGCGAAGGCAGCUUACCAAACUAUAUCUGACGUUGAGGCACGAAAGCGUGGGUAGCAAACAGGAUUAGAUACCCCAGUAGUC